AGGAAGUCGCUGUAGGAGGAGCAAGGGUAGCCUGUGAGGCUGCAGGUCCGGUUGAGAGCACACAGGUACAGGAACACAGAGCGCUGGUGGUCACACACAAAAUACGACUUCCCUACGAAAGAGAAAAGCUGGAAAAGCUGUAGAAGCAUUAAGACGCGGAUCAGUGAGCACCGCCGCAUAUAAGGACAGGAAGUGUCACUGAGUACUGCCCAUAUAUAUAGGACCUUCCACCCCAACCUGGGAUACGGAUGCCUGAUGAAGACCUACGUGUCAAAAACAUUCUUAUAAUAAAAUCACCUGGGAACAUGA